rnacentral:RNase_P_RNA from 1 species
UCAGAUGGUCGGGUGACUGCUGCCCCAAAUCGCACGAUAUGGGGGAGAGGAAAGUCCGGGCUCCACAGGAUCAGGAUGCCGGGUAACGCCCGGCGGGGGCAACCCUAGGGAAAGUGCCACAGAAAAGAUACCGCCAUGGCGUGCCAUGGUAAGGGUGAAAUGGUGCGGUAAGAGCGCACCGCCGGUCUGGUAACAGAACGGGCAUGGUAAACCCCAUCCGGAGCAAAACCAUAUAGGGACAUAGGAACGGCUUGUUCGUUCAGGUGCGGUCCUGCAUCAUGUCCGGGUAGGUUGCUUGAAGCGGCUGGUAACAGCCGUUCUAGAUGAAUAGUCGCCAAUGCUGGCAACAGCGUUACAGAACCCGGCUUACAGACCAUCUGACAGU